GGGAAGGUGGCUCAGUGGUAGAGUGCUUGCCUUGCAUGCAUGAGGCGCUGGGUUCGAUUCCUCAGUACCA
rnacentral:tRNA from 1 species